UAUAGCAACCAGACGAGAAGCAAUGACAAUUUGGAAUGAGAGAUAAAACUGACUGUGUCUUCACACUGCCAGAAGUGACAGCAGCACUGACUGCAGAGCCUCAAGGAGCAGAGGACUUUUCCUCUGCAGUUUUAUGUGACUGGAUGUGGGUGAACUUGCAUGGUAAAGAAAGAGGUGAUGAACAGCCUUCUCAUUCAAGACUAUUCAAAUAUGUGUACAAACACAGUAGUUAAAGCAUAUUCUCAAGUCCAAGCAGAAACAAGAUCACCUGGGUUCCUAGCCACUCAUUAAGUGAAGAUUUACUAAGUACCACCAGAAUGGGCCACAUACAGUCACAUUUCCAGAUCUGCUGGGGACAGACAGGACAUGGCCGCCUGGACUAGAGCUUCUGCGAGGGAUCCCGCUGACAUCCAUAUUGAGCAUUAUCUCCAACCCAAUGGAGCUGAGAUGUAUUUGAUUAAACCACACUUUGAGAAUCAACCUCAUUAUUUACCAUCAUCGACUGCACUGGCCACAUAGAAAUUAGGUUGAGCACCCGGGAUGGAAGGCUGAAUCGUGCUCCCUCUCGAUGUGUCCAUUACUUCAUUCCAAGAGCACAAAUAUGCCACUUGGUAUAAAAGAACGAACUUGCACAUGUCAGUAAACUAAGGAUCUUGAGAUGGGUGGAUUACCCUGAAGUAUUUGAGUGUGCUCAGUAUUCAUAAAUUUUAUUAUGAGAGAGAAGCUACAGGAUAAGAUUCAGACAAGAAGACUGGAAGAUGCUGCUGUGCUGGCUUUUCAAGUUGGAGAACAGAGUCAUGAACCAAGCAAUGCAGAACACCUCUCAGAGUCAGAAAAGGCCCAGAGCACAGGGAUGGAGAAUCCCCCGUGAAGCCUACAGAAAUAGUGCAGCCUUGUAUUUUAGGAAUUUUCAAAACUCUAGAAGAACAUAUUUAAAUUAUUUUAAGCACUAACUAUGUGAUAAUUUUAGAGCAAC